AGAGUUUGAUCCUGGCUCAGGAUGAACGCUAGCGGCAGGCCUAACACAUGCAAGUCGAGGGGUAGAGUUUCUUCGGAGACUUGAGACCGGCGCACGGGUGCGUAAUGCGUAUGCAAUCUGCCCUUUACUGGGGAAUAGCCCGGAGAAAUUCGGAUUAAUGCCCCAUAUGCCCACGGGAUCGCAUGGUUCAGUGGGGAAAGUUCCGACGGUAAAGGAUGAGCAUGCGUCCCAUUAGCUAGUUGGUGAGGUAACGGCUCACCAAGGCGACGAUGGGUAGGGGGCCUGAGAGGGUGAUCCCCCACACUGGUACUGAGACACGGACCAGACUCCUACGGGAGGCAGCAGUGAGGAAUAUUGGGCAAUGGAGGCAACUCUGACCCAGCCAUGCCGCGUGCAGGAAGACGGCCCUCUGGGUUGUAAACUGCUUUUGUUUGGGAAUAAACCCUUCUACGUGUAGGAGGCUGAAGGUACCUUACGAAUAAGCAUCGGCUAACUCCGUGCCAGCAGCCGCGGUAAUACGGAGGAUGCAAGCGUUAUCCGGAUUUAUUGGGUUUAAAGGGUCCGUAGGCGGGUCUUUAAGUCAGUGGUGAAAGCCCACAGCUCAACUGUGGAACUGCCAUUGAUACUGGAGAUCUUGAGUGUAGUAGAAGU
rnacentral:rRNA from 1 species